UACGGAGGGGGCAAGCGUUAUUCGGAAUUAUUGGGCGUAAAGGGCGCGUAGGCGGCCUGGCAAGUGGAUGGUGAAAUCCCUCGGCUUAACCGGGGAACUGCCAUCCAGACUGCUUGGCUUGAGUCCGGGAGAGGUGAGUGGAAUUCCCAGUGUAGCGGUGAAAUGCGUAGAUAUUGGGAGGAACACCAGUGGCGAAGGCGGCUCACUGGACCGGUACUGACGCUGAUGCGCGAAAGCGUGGGGAGCAAACAGG
rnacentral:rRNA from 1 species